GAGCCGGAUAAAUUGGAAUUGUACUGAAUCGUUUUAACCUAUAUACUUGUUUUUAUUUUAAGAUCUGAACUUGCAUGUGUUCAAAACUACUAUGAAAACAAUAAGUGUUUUUAUUUGUUAUGCAUCUUAGGUGAUGUGUUGUUGUGUGUCCCUAGAUAAAAUUUUAAAUUAUUUAUCAAUCAAACUUGCUAGAUGUUUGGUAAUUAUUAACGUGAUUAUAUGCAUAUGCUGAAGCCUAGAUUCCAAAAUGCAUAUUGUGUCUGUUGUUGAAAACUGUUGCCGACUUUAAUGUGUCUGUCAGUGUACAUUAUAUUUGAGGAUGUUGUAGUUUCAAAAGAGGUUAGGUUUAGAAUCUUUGAAAAAUGAUUGAACUUCAUUGUUGACUGAUGGGUGAUGAAACCGUGGGCAUUGAAUAAAACGUAUACCAUAC
rnacentral:misc_RNA from 1 species